rnacentral:rRNA from 1 species
AGUGAACGCUGGCGGUAGGCCUAACACAUGCAAGUCGAACGGCAGCACAGUAAGAGCUUGCUCUUACGGGUGGCGAGUGGCGGACGGGUGAGGAAUACAUCGGAAUCUACUUUUUCGUGGGGGAUAACGUAGGGAAACUUACGCUAAUACCGCAUACGACCUACGGGUGAAAGCAGGGGAUCUUCGGACCUUGCGCGAUUGAAUGAGCCGAUGUCGGAUUAGCUAGUUGGCGGGGUAAAGGCCCACCAAGGCGACGAUCCGUAGCUGGUCUGAGAGGAUGAUCAGCCACACUGGAACUGAGACACGGUCCAGACUCCUACGGGAGGCAGCAGUGGAGAAUAUUGGACAAUGGGCGCAAGCCUGAUCCAGCCAUACCGCGUGGGUGAAGAAGGCCUUCGGGUUGUAGCCCUUUUGUUGGGAAAGAAAAGCAGCAGGUUAAUACCCCGCUGUUCUGACGGUACCCAAAGAAUAAGCACCGGCUAACUUCGUG